GAUGAACGCUGGCGGCGUGCUUAACACAUGCAAGUCGAACGAAGCAUUUUAACUUGAUUUCUUCGGACUGAUUGUUACUAUGACUGAGUGGCGGACGGGUGAGUAACGCGUGGGUAACCUGCCUCAUACAGGGGGAUAACAGUUAGAAAUGACUGCUAAUACCGCAUAAGCGCACGGUAUCGCAUGAUACAGUGUGAAAAACUCCGGUGGUAUGAGAUGGACCCGCGUCUGAUUAGCUAGUUGGUGGGGUAACGGCCUACCAAGGCGACGAUCAGUAGCCGACCUGAGAGGGUGACCGGCCACAUUGGGACUGAGACACGGCCCAAACGCCUACGGGAGGCAGCAGGGGGGAAUAUUGCACAAUGGGCGAAAGCCUGAUGCAGCGACGCCGCGUGAAUGAAGAAGUAUUUCGGUAUGUAAGGUUCUAUCAGCAGGGAAGAUAAUGACGGUACCUGACUAAGAAGCACCGGCUAAAUACGUGCCAGCCGCCGCGGUAAAAC
rnacentral:rRNA from 1 species